UACGUAGGGGGCGAGCGUUGUCCGGAAUCAUUGGGCGUAAAGCGCGUGUAGGCGGCCCGGUAAGUCGGCUGUGAAAGUCCAGGGCUCAACCCUGGGAUGCCGGUCGAUACUGCCGGACUAGAGUUCGGAAGAGGCGAGUGGAAUUCCCGGUGUAGCGGUGAAAUGCGCAGAUAUCGGGAGGAACACCAAUGGCGAAGGCAGCUCGCUGGGACGUUACUGACGCUGAGACGCGAAAGCGUGGGGAGCAAACAGG
rnacentral:rRNA from 1 species